CUUACCAAUUCAUUCACUUUGACUUUUGUUAAAAAACUUUAAAAAAUGUAUUUAAUGUAAUGAUUUUAUCUCUUUUCCUGUUUAACUUUAUGGCCCUUUCCAUUUAAUUUUAACUUUCUGGUGUUUUUUUUUUCUUUUGUUUUCUAUUUGACUAUGAAGUAAUUUAUUGUCUAAGUUUGACUUGAUUGUAUGCAAUGUUAUU